AUCGCGUCGGUUCCCGUACGAUCACCAAAGUUAAGCAACGUCGUGCCUGGUCAAUAUCUAGAUGGGUGACCGCCUGGGAAUAUACGAUGCUGUCAG